rnacentral:rRNA from 1 species
AGGACGAACGCUGGCGGCGUGCUUAACACAUGCAAGUCGAGCGAGGCCCUUCCUUCGGGAAGGUGCCCUAGCGGCGAACGGGUGAGUAACACGUGGGCAACCUGCCCCUAGCACUGGGAUAACUCCGGGAAACCGGGGCUAAUACCGGAUAUGACCUUUGAGGGCAUCCUUGAAGGUGUAAAGGAUUCUGGCUAGGGAUGGGCCCGCGGCCUAUCAGCUUGUUGGUGGGGUAAUGGCCUACCAAGGCGACGACGGGUAGCCGGCCUGAGAGGGCGACCGGCCACACUGGGACUGAGACACGGCCCAGACUCCUACGGGAGGCAGCAGUGGGGAAUAUUGGACAAUGGGGGCAACCCUGAUCCAGCAAUGCCGCGUGUGUGAAGAAGGCCUUCGGGUUGUAAAGCGACUUUUAUCUGGAACGAACACGCAGGGUUAAUAGCUUUGCGGACUGACGGUACCAGAGGAAUAAGCACCGGCUAACGUCGUGCCAGCAGCCGCGGUAA